rnacentral:tRNA from 1 species
UGCAUCGGCCGGGAAUCGAACCCAGGGCACCCGGCAUUCUACCACUGAACCAAAAGC